UAGGGCAGAGCAUUCCUUUCCAAACGCCUGGCCACACAGGCGCUUUAGGAUACCUGCCCCGCUUGGCGCUGCGUCUCAAGAUCUGCUACCACGGAACAGUUGCGUCUCCAUCUGGCUUCCAACCCACCCAAGCUUUCUUCUCCUCUAUCACCACCUUCCUGCCUCCCCCUCCUCCCCUUCCUUUCCGUCUUCCCUCUCCACCCCCGCCCUCAAUCUCCUCCUCUUUUUCUCACUACAAGCCGCCGCUGAUGCUGAAGCCGAGCGUCACUUCGGCUCCCACGGCAGACAUGGCGACAUUGACAGUGGUCCAGCCGCUUACUCUGGACAGAGAUGUUGCAAGAGCAAUUGAGCUACUGGAAAAGCUACAAGAAUCUGGAGAAGUACCAGUGCACAAGCUACAGUCUCUCAAAAAGGUGCUUCAGAGUGAGUUUUGUACAGCAAUUCGAGAGGUGUACCAAUAUAUGCAUGAAACGAUAACUGUUAAUGGCUGUCCUGAAUUCCGUGCGAGGGCCACAGCAAAGGUAUUCUCGUGUGUACACUGUAAGAAAAUUUAGACAUCAGUGGCAGCCCAGAGUCUAGAACCAGUACUACUUCCCAGGCAACAGUUGCAGCUUUUGCAGCUAGUGAAGGCCACUCUCACCCUCGGGUAGUCGAGCUGCCAAAGACAGAUGAAGGCCUGGGCUUUAACGUGAUGGGAGGAAAGGAGCAAAAUUCCCCAAUUUAUAUCUCUCGCAUCAUCCCUGGAGGGGUGGCUGAAAGACACGGAGGCCUCAAAAGAGGGGACCAACUGCUGUCGGUGAACGGAGUGAGUGUGGAAGGGGAACAUCAUGAGAAAGCUGUGGAGCUACUCAAGGCUGCCAAGGACAGCGUCAAGCUGGUGGUCAGGUACACCCCCAAAGUCCUGGAGGAAAUGGAGGCUCGCUUUGAAAAGCUCCGGACAGCAAGGCGUCGGCAGCAGCAACAAUUGCUCAUUCAACAGCAGCAACAGCAGCAGCAGCAGCAAGCACAGCAAAACCACAUGUCAUAGGCCCUAGAAGAAAAGCUACCAGAUCAAACAUCUGAUAGUCACAAAUUUGGAAACGUGCUCCAAGAAUCCCAGCACAUAUAAAAAGGGAAAGGCAACACCAGUAAUUACACCUGUCAAGAAGCUGUGAACACACAUGUAUCCGUUCUUUACAAGGCAAUUCGACACCUUCCUUCUCUGGGCGACAGCCCAUGCUCAUGGCUCUUUACCCACUCAGACCUUCCAUUCAUGGCACUGGAAAUUCUCAGUGCAUAGAGGGAGAGAUUUUUCCAGUCUGCAGACUGAAACGGUAUAAAAGGAAUAAAGUCUGUGACUUUUGAACAAAUCAGCGGGGCCAGGAUUAAGUGACUCUUUGUCUAAGGCUUUUCCAGAGAUUAACAAACCCCUCAUUAGGCCAUAGUUCAAACUGCAUAGUUCAAGGUUGACACCACUUGAAGGAAGCUUACACAUGGCCCUUACCCUGACCUGUUCCGCAGUUCAUAUUCCUGAGUUGUCUGAAUUAGAAUUUGAUUUAAUUGAAAACUUAACCUCAGUUUUCCUCUUGAAAAUGGCAAAUUCUUAUAUACUCACUACACUACAUAAUUUCUUCAGGCUCUAGAGGCAGUUGGCCUUUUAUGUUCUGUUUCCAUGAAUUUUAGUAUGCAUUAAAAGAGUAGGGUAUUUCAGCUGAACACUCGGUUUAUUAGAAGCAAGGGUGGGAACUCUAGUACUUUUUUUUUUAAUUUAAGUAUUGUUUGUAUCUAUUAUUAACUCUUAACAACAAUAUAUUUAUUCCACAAAAUAUAUAUUAUCAGAAUACAUUUGUUAUAACUUGGGUUCUUUGUUUACCAAGGGUUACUGCUCUGUUACAAGAAUACUGCCUCUUCAUGAGCUGAUCCUCACUUGAAAUACAUGACCUUCUCUCAAUGUUUUCUUGUUUAUUGAUAAGGUUUGGAGAAAUCUAAACUCAUCUUGCACACUUAAUGUGCUAUCAUAGAAAUCUAUUUGAUAUUUUAAAGCUUGGAACAUUACAAAAUUGAACUAUAAUAUAUGCACAUAGAUACACAUUCAGUGUAUAUAUCAAUCUAGUUUAGACCAGUUUUCCAACUAUAAACUGUAUUUUUUGGCAGUAUUGUUUCUUAAAUGAGGCACAUGGAAUCCAGUGAUAUCAACAUUGUGAAUGACAGAUGCUGCUGCCACUAGAGGAAAAAAUAUUUCAUUUCACACAUUCCCAUUCAUAAACAUGCAUUUCUUUCACUUUUUGACUUAGAGCAAAUUUAGGCACCUAAUCUGGUUUUAUAUUAUGAAAUAAGUAGGUAGCAAUAAUUAUCUGGGCAUUUAAACACCUUAAGCACAAAAAUGUACCUAAUCCUCACAUACUAACGCUUGCACGCAUGUGUACACACACACACACACACACACACACACAUAAACACACACACACACAAAAAAAAAACAAAUAGAAUUGCGUAGUUAAAACAAGCCAGAUAGACCAUCAAAACUGAAUAAGAUAUCUUAGUAUAUCUUUUUUAAGGUAGAAAAUGUCUCCCCAACUGUAAUAAAUUUGAUAUUUCAGACAGUCCUCCAGAAUAGAAAUGUGUGACGCUCAGCUUAGAAACUAUAUUCCUGAAAUUAAACAAAAACAAUCAGAUUCACUCAGCACAUUUUAUUUUGCUCUCUUGGGUGGUACUAAUGUCAAUAGCAAGUUCUUAAUGCUCUUCAGAGUGCAUCACCCACGAGGUGACAAGCAUCAAGGAACCCAAGAGAUACACCAAUUCAUUUCAAUAUCCUUCUUCUGUGGUAGCAUAUCACUUUUUUAAUUGGGGGGAGGGGCAGUCGAAGACCCGGAAUGUUGUAAAAUAGGUUUAUAAGAGUCAAGCAUAACAAAAAGGGAAGAAAUGGAGACUAUAUGAGUAUUAUUCAGCUUGAAAGAUAGUUUUCAUUUUUAUAAGAGAAAUGUAAUAAAACAUAUAUUUUAGUUAUCGUUUAACAAAGAAAUAUUAAAGCUAUUCAGGCAAUGCCACAGGACUCUCAUAAAAGGAAAUCAUCCCACCCUUGUAAUGAGGAAAUGGUCAUUUCUACACAUUUCAACACAUUGUAUAAAUUUGGAGCUUAAGAUAAUUGUUAUCAUCUAGCUGUUAAGUGUUUAGUAAAUAGUGAAGAUACUGUGUGGUCUCACGUCGAUAAGCAUACUGUAGAAGCAGCUAUCACAUAAUAGACAUUUUACACCUGUGUUUUCUAGAAGUCUUUGUAUUUUAUGCUUCGUUUGCAUAAUGUGAAGUGCUGAUAAAUGUAUGCCAAGUUGUUUGUCAAAGCGAAGGAGCAAUCCACCAUACUACAGAGCCAAGGACAGGCUACGUGUCUUAGGGGUUCCUACAUACAAAUAGCUGGUUCCUUUCAGUAAAGUUUACUUUCUUGAAAUGUAAGCAUUUCUCUAAAAUUUUAAUAAAAAAUAGCACCCCAAAUAUGCACAGAGGCCACUUGUGGGUCUCUGAAGUUUCACUGAAGCUAGAGGGAAAAGGAAAAACAAAACGACCAUAAUUUGUACUAAUGGUCUUUAUUGCCAAGUAUCAUGCUAGACACACUGACAUGUUUGGCAUCAUGCUUUAAAGGAAAAGACACGGUAGUCUGCUUUUACAUGAAGCUCACUGUUAAAUCUAAUAAACUAGGGGGAAAACGGUUGAUAUUUCUCAUCAGAGAUCCGUCUGGUGAAUUUCAGUUUUCCCUUGGGUCAAGCUGGUAGACAGUGCAAGAGAUUUCCGUACACUUUCUUCCAGCUAUGAUUUUUAAGGUGAACACAGAAGGUAAUUCGGUUAAAGAAUUACUGAACCUUUUCACUGGAGCUUUUACAUUCUGAUUCUGUUCCCUUUUGAAACAGAGUAUCUGCAGGGAGAUAAUGAGCUUAAAUUACAAUCAACUUUGGAAAGAAUAACAGACUUUUGUGCUUCUUCAAUCAUGUAAUCAAUAGGAAAUUCUCUACUGACAUGAGCUACCACUGUAUUUUAAGACAAUGCUAAGAUCUAAAUGUAAAAGUCAGGGGCUUAUUAAGACCUGGAGGUAUUCUCUGAAGAACUUGGCUAGAGACAGAUUACACCAAUUUACAAAUGCAGUUUGCAUCUGUGGCAUCAAACUGAUCUUAUUUCCUUUUGCACAGCUGUACAUGUAGGACACUAAAAUGCAGAGUAUUUUAUCUGUCAUUUUAAACACAUAUUACUAUUUGUGUAUGUGUGAAUAAUGAGUUCCUGGAUUUCUCAUUUUUCAGCUGGGAUUUGUUUAUCUAGCACAUAGUUGAUACAUAAGAGUAACUUCAGAUGAGAUCAUUAUGUGGAGAAAGAUCGUGCUCAAAGGAUUAAGGGAGCCCCGUACUGAGUAAUAUCUUGCAGACACCAUCCCAUUCCUCUUCAGAUCCCAAACUCCAUGAGACAAAAAGAGAUGUGAUUCCAGCCCUGUUUCUGGACUAGCACACUCAGCAAAUAUUUAUUGAAUAAAUGAAUUACUGGAGAGGUGGAUAAAUGAAUUCAUCCUGACUUCUGGUUAUUUCACUAGCUUAUAAUAUACUAAAUGACACUAUAAUUUCUCAUAUCAUAGUUAGAACCAGAACUGUAAUCAAAAUACUUAAAAGAUUUCAAGGGUUCAAGGAUUGUUAGAUACAGAGCAAUGAUUGGCAUUCAGAUUUUUUUAUUUUACAGUGAAUAAAAUAUUAUCUAGUUCUUUAUGAAACACCUUGAAUUAUUUGGCAUGGAUGCUUCAAACAUGGAACUAAUUUCUGUAGAAGACUGAGUUUUAGUUUUAACAAAAAGAAGUUAUAUCAUCAAGAUAUUGGGAUUCCCUCUGGUAUUUGUAUUUUCAAAGAAAUUCAUAGUCAUUGAUGGUACCAUUUCUAAAUCUUCUGCUUUCAAAUACCACCAUUUCAUCUUUGAUUCCUAGGACACACCUGAGCUAAAAACUAAUGUAUCCCCAAACUUUACCAUACAUGCAUUUAUUCAUUUAAUAAAUAUUUGUUGUGUUCUUAGUACAUGCUAGAUUAAGGAGAUACAAAGUGAAACAAGACCAAGGUAAUCCCUAUGUGGAGUUCCUCAGCACUUACUCCAGCCAAAACUACAGUUUAUCACACACUGGGUCCCCUUCACACUUUCUAGAACAAAUAAAACCUCACACCUCAUGGGAAUCAUGAAAUACUGCCUACACAGAUUUAUGUAAGCUUUCUUUCCUGAACAUGCCACUCAAAAUUGCCACAUAGUUUAUCCAUAAACCAGUUACAACCCAGUGAGGUAGACAAGACAUAUUGAUCCAGUUCUUACUACUUUGCAGCUUCUUGGCUCAGUGCUUUCAUGAACUCUCCCUUCAAUAGUCCUAUUCAGUAGGUUCCAUUUUAUACACAAGAGAACUGAAGCAGAGACAGGUGACUUUUCUAAGGUCACACAAUUAACAGGUAGACUUGGGAUUUGAACUCAUGUGGUCUGACACAAUAGCUCAUGUGCCUAGCCACAUAUGUGGGUUUGGGAGACACCACUGAAAAUGAACAAGUUGUAUAUAAAAAAAGUACCUUGAAACUGUAAAGUAGUAUACAAAAGAUAUUAGUAAAUUAUUCCUUGUUUUAGUCAACAAAUCAUAUCAGAAACAAAACAGGGUUAGAAUUCAGUCUUACAUUAUAGCUUACUUUUAUGAUGAUUAGCUUCAUCCAGGGACAUGCAUAAAAGUUCAGAUCCAGAAAUUUUCUUACUUGUGAAAAAUGUUUCAAUGACUUCAGAAAUAUUUAUUGUCAGCCACUGUGUCUACUUGGUGCUACAAUAAAAAAAAAAAAAA